ACAAGAAUCACCUGGUGAUCAUGGUAAAAAUGCAGAGUUUAAUUCAGGUCUGGCUGGGGCCCAAUUUUCUGCAGUUCUAACAAGCUUCCUGUUGAUACUAGU
rnacentral:miRNA from 1 species